CUAAACAGCAACCAGUGCGUGAGGACGACCCGUGUUCAGGCCCAUAGACGAUUACCCCAAAAACAGACUCUGUUGAGCAGUGCUAAUCCUUUCAUCUAUCCCUCUCUUUCUCUCCGAACACAAAAAGGAUUUUCCGUGAAAGUGACUCGAGUGCGAAAUGAUAUUUUAAGAAACAAAGCGAAUCAGGCCAGAGCCAAAGUGCAAACAAAACGAAAAGUGUUCAGCAGCAAACAUCGCACCCACAAAAGGAUCGGGGCCCAAGGAGCCACAGACUGCACUCCAAUGCAGUCCCCACUGUAGCCCAGAGCAAAGAAUUUCCUUUCUUCGCCCAAACUGAAGCAAUUAACUGAAAAUGUAGCAGUGGCAAGAACAUGGCCCAACUGGAACACCAAAUGCCAUGCGAUGCAACUAGCAUAAAUAAACUGAAAGGAUUCCGUGAUUAGGACGUGUUGUACCCUAACGCUCUAAAUGCAGACGAUAUGGGCACAACAUGGCCUCAGCACAGAUACGACAUUUCUAUAACACACCAACAACAAUUUCUUCAACAACAACGACACGACAACUCUUACAACAAACACUGCAGCAGCAGCAGCACACGAACAACUGCAACAGGAACAAACGGAAGCAAUUUCAAAGCGAAACCUUUUUAUGCCACACAAAAACACAAAGAGAACCGGAGGCAGCAGCAGCAGCAAAAGCAACAACAGCAACACUAUGCCAGCCAGCGCAAGCAGGAAAAGGAGCAACAACAACAGCAGCAGCAGCAGCAGCAGCAGAGGCCGGGGGAGCUGCAACAGAUGAUGCACGAGCGUGGGAAAGUCAUAAAGGUGCAUCAGCCUGGCAAUGGACCACACCUGAGAUCGCUGCCACAAGCCACAAUCACGGAAUGCUGUCCGCAGCUGGCCGCCGGCAAGGACAGCCACAUCCUCUGGCAUUCGGCGGCAGGACACAUGAGGACGCUGCUACCACUCCUGCUACUGCUGCUCCUGCAGCUAAACAGCAGCCAUGCCUGGCUCUGGCUGUUGUGGCCGCCUCUACAGGGACUUCUAAGCAGGCUGGCCUCAGCAGCAACACGACCGGUCCUCGCCUAUCACGCUUAUCUUCCAAUGCCAGUCAAGACUCUACGAAACCACAACGAAAGCUCCUCCAUCAAGAUGGGGCCUCGAACAGCACCAGCCCUGGCGAGAAGGCGGACACUCACAGUCCUCCUGCCCCAGUCAGCAUCUUCAUGGAUAUGCAGAAGUUUGCACGCUCUAUAUUUCCGCUUGUUAUCAUCUUCAAUCUGCUGCCCUUGUUCUAUGCAGGUACGUACGCAAGAGCCAUUCAAAAGCGGGCAGGCAUUGCUCACUUAGAGUCGUCCGGCGCUGAUGGCGAGCCUUGGAUGCAGCCCGUGGUGACAUAUUUGGAGGUGUCGUCGCGACCCACGAAAUCGCCAAAGUGUGAUCAGACAUUUGUGUCGCGGAUUGGUGGGCCACAGAAUGGCACCUUCUCGGCCCCGCUGCUGCACAACCAUCGCAAUCAUUCGCGCCAAUGCCUCUACACUUUCCUAGCAGGACCUGGCCAGCGCGUCGAAGUAGUUUUUAAAUCGUUUAGUUUAAGAGGAAGUCCACCAGACGGUUCGGCCGUCGGUGAAUUACCAAGCUGUGUUCAUGAGUACAUGGAUAUUUACUCGGAGGUGCAAUCGUCGGAGCCUGCGGAGCUUAUCAAUUCCCCAUUCGGUGGCCGGUACUGUGGCGCCAUACCGCCGCGUCGUCGCAUUUCCAUGUACCGCGCCGUUGCCAUUUCCUUUUUUAGCAACAAGAACGUGUCCACCGAUCUGUUCGAGGGCACGUUUAGGUUUAUAAAUGCAUCGGAAUAUGAAAUCGGCAUACCCAUUGCGGGAUCGCCAUGUUCCUACACGAUAACGCCGAGCAUGAGUGUGAAUAAAACCGGCACGCUCAUAUCGCCAACCUAUCCAGGUGCCUAUCCGAAGGAUAUGUCGUGCACAUAUCAGUUUCUUGGUGAAUCGAAUCAGAGAGUUAGAUUAGAGUUUCGUGAUUUUGAUCUAUUUUUUGGUGGACCACACUGCCCAUUUGACUAUGUGAAAGUGUACGAUGGUCCAGAUAAUUCGUCAGCAUUAAUCGGUACAUAUUGCGGACAGCAAAGAAACUUAGUUUUGUAUUCGAGCGAGUCGAGCCUUUUUGUUCAUUUUUAUACGUUACCGCGCACCGCAAAUACCCAGAAUCGUGGCUUUAAAGGAUUUUAUGAAUUUAGCGAGGGUUUUGUUAAAUUAGAUUUUAUACGUGAAAAUGAUGGCAUUCACAUACGUGGCUCAGAAUGUGAUCAAAAGAUUUUAUCGAAGAAGGAGUCAACUGGCUUUGUGCUCUCCCCCAACUAUCCCUAUCCCUAUAUACCAAAAACUGUAUGUAGAUAUUUCAUCUAUGGCAUGCAGGAUGCCCAGCAUCUGGAGCGUGUGCGCCUCGAGUUUACCAGUACUUUCAACAUACCCCAAGUAAUGCACAAGGACAAGAGCGAAUCCAACUGCACGGAUGGCUAUCUGAAGAUCUAUCUGAAGGGCCAGGAGACGGCCGACGCGUACGACAAGUUCGACUACGAGCUCUGUGGCAACGAGACGCAGCGCGUGAUCAGCGAGGGGCCGCGCCUGGCCAUGGUCUUCAGCUCGGGGGAGCUGCAGGGCCGGGGCUUCAAGGGCAAGUACACCUUCGAGACGGAGUACAAGAUACCCGGUACUGCGGCUCCGGACGGCACCUGCAGCUUCACGUACGUGAGCAGCUCGAAGAAGCGCGGCGAGCUGAACAGUCCGCGCUACCCCUCGAACUAUCCGUCGGACACGAACUGCUCGUACCUGUUCCUGGCCGAGGCCAACGAGCAGGUGACCAUUGUAUUCGAUCACUUCAAGAUCAAGGCGGACAACAACGCGAAUGCCACGGCCGGUGCAUAUGGGUCGGGCGCCUGCUUUGAGGAUUGGCUGGAGAUGUAUGUCGUCUAUCGGGACAACAACGAUCGCCUGCUGGGCCGCUACUGUGGUCUGACAGCACCCGGACCCGUCGAGAGCCCCCGGGGUGCUGUGGGGCUGCGCAUCACACUGCACACGGACCAGGAGAGCGUGGCCAGCGGCUUCAAGGCGCGCUAUUUCUUCGAGUCGGCCAAGUCGGAUGCCGGCGACUGCGGCGGCAACUUCAGCAACGAGGACUCGGGCAUCAUCACCUCCCCCAACUGGCCGGCGGGCUACAAGGCGCCCGGUCGCGGCCUGGCCUCCAAUGCCUGCAAUUGGGUGAUGACCGCCCGACCCGGCUACAAGUUGUCCAUUCACUUUGAGCAGUUCGGCCUCGAAGGGGAUCCAGCAAAUCGCGGCUGUCCUGCGGCUGUGCUGAGGCUGUGGAUGAAUGUCGACUCUGACCAACCGCCCAUGGAAUUGUGCGGCGAGAAGCCGCCCAUCGAAUACUGGCACUACACCUCCACGGGCCAGACGGCACGCAUUAGUUUCACAACCAGCGACAAGACCGUAGGUGCACAGGGCUUCCGCAUUGUGUGGACUGAGAUACAGGACUCGGGCCCGGGCCCGCCAUCCGUGGGCCUGCACUGCGAGUCCACCUACCACUUCCAGUGCGGCGCUGGCUACUGCAUCUCGGACAAGCUGCGCUGCGACGGCGUCAAGAACUGCGGUCCCGGCGACGAUAGUGACGAAUUGCACUGUGAGUCGUACCACGGAAGCGGCCGAGGCGGAUCACGACGUUCUAAUUAUAAUAACACUAAUCGUCGUCUUGUCCCUAAUCUGUCUCCUAUGCACACUCUGUCACUCCAGAAGAAACCGUAGGAACCAUGUGCGCCAAUUGGGCCUGCAUCGGAAUGCGCACUACGACUCACAGACCAGUGCAACGGUCUUUUUAGUUUCCAGCGGGUCUCAGCUCCAGUCGGAGGCAUUUGCAGAGUGGCGGGGCUAGUAUAGCGGGCAGUUUGCAUGGCAUCAACAGC
rnacentral:misc_RNA from 1 species